rnacentral:tRNA from 1 species
GGAGGUAGCCCAAUGGUAGAGUGCUUGCCUAGUAUGCAUGAGGCCCUGGGUUCAAUCUCCAGUACUGCCA